CUUCAGUGAUGAUACGAUGACGAGACGGAAUAAGGCUCCAGUUCUGUGGGUUACUGGUUCAGGUCCACGUCCUGUGGUUCGGCUCCAGUUCCUCAGACCAGGAAGUCUUCUUCUCAUGAAGACACAGAGGCAUUUGUCUGAGAAGG
ensembl:snoRNA SNORD15 Small nucleolar RNA SNORD15